rnacentral:lncRNA from 1 species
UUUUUUUUUUUUUGAGUCAGAGUCUCGGUCUGUCACCCAGGCUGGAGUGCCCUGGCGUGAUCUAGGCUCACUGCAACCUCCGCCUCCUGGGUUCAAGCAAUUCUCCUGCCUCAGCCUCCCGAGUAGCUGGGAUUAGAGGCACCCGUCACCACGCCUGGCUAAUUUUUGUGUUUUUAGUAAAGACGGGGUUUCACCAUGCCCCUUGGCCAGGCUGGUCUCGAACUCCUGACCUCAUGAUCCGCCCACCUCGGCCUCCCAAAGUGCUGGGAUUAGAGGGGUGAGCCACUGCGCCCGGCCAUUUUCAAACUUUUAAGGGGCUGCAGGGAUCACUAGAGAAAGUUUGGGGCUGUAUCCUACUUGACCUAAGUACCUCCAUUUUUAACUGUUUACAUAUUGGGCUUUCCAAAUUUCAUUUGCAAACUGAAAUUCUGCACACAAAAAGUUACAAAAAUCAAAAUUUUGAAAAAUUAUGGUCUAAUUCUUCCCUUUUAAAGAUAAGACACUAACGCCCAGAGAGAGAAUACAACGUGCCCAAGAUCGCCUAGCAAGCUGCUGAUGGGGCCAGAAAGAGGAUCCAGACCUCCAGACUCCACAUCCAGGGCCCUUCUCACACUGCCCCCAUCACCUGGCCUCCCUCUAUCCUAAUGUUGACUCUGCAGGCUUUCAGGGGCCACCUGCCAUCCAGUCCCCCUCCUGUGGGCUUAUCAGUGGCUGCCUACAGGACUCUGAGAUUCCAGAUGGAAACGGAAAGAAUGGUAAAAAGGAGGUAAUUGGGCCAAGUUGUGGAGGGGGGAGCUGUCUCAGCCAGGUAUGCAGCGUCUCCUCAGGUGGAGAAUCUGGCUAGAAAUUCCGAAGGGGACAAAAGCUAACUCCAUAUGACCAUGGUGUUGGGUUUUGAAACCCUAUACGUUUUUUAAAUCUAUAAUUAUGUGGUACACACCUAAUUAAAAUGGACUAUAAUUGUUGAAAUAUUUUAUUGAAGUCAUUUUUUUUUUCCGAACGACAGGUUUAACAGAUGAUAAAACUUGUCUUGUGGUUAACUUGGGCUGCCAAGAUCCCCAGGCACAGUACAGAGGGUGGGGCUGUCCGACAGCGGACAGUCAACUGCAUCUGAAUGCCAGCAUUCUUUGCUAAGCACUCCCUUCUGAAGGCUCCUCUUGGGCCCCAUGCCAAGCGCUCAGGACGGAGACAAAUAGCCUGGGUGGGUGUUUUGUGCACAAAGAUGAUUGAGGUUUGCUUUUGCUCGAUGGAGAAAUCCUUUGAAAUUGUGCUCCCGGGGAGCAAGGGCACGGAAUUUCCUUUGAACCAGUAAUUUCAUCAAGGGACUCUGCAUUUCAGUGGCCCAAAUGGCAAAGAUUUAUGCCCAACAAUUUCCACUGUAGUGCC